CCUACGGGGUGCAGCAGUGAGGAAUAUUGGUCAAUGGCCGCAGGGCUGAACCAGCCAAGUCGCGUGAGGGAUGACGGUCCUAUGGAUUGUAAACCUCUUUUGUCAGGGAGCAAAGGGCGCCACGUGUGGCGCUUUGCGAGUACCUGAAGAACAAGCAUCGGCUAACUCCGUGCCAGCAGCCGCGGUAAUACGGAGGAUGCGAGCGUUAUCCGGAUUUAUUGGGUUUAAAGGGUGCGCAGGCGGAAUGUCAAGUCAGCGGUAAAAUUUCGGGGCUCAACCCCGUCGUGCCGUUGACACUGGCGUUCUUGAGUGAGCGAGAAGUAGGCGGAAUGCGUGGUGUAGCGGUGAAAUGCAUAGAUAUCACGCAGAACUCCGAUUGCGAAGGCAGCAUACCGGCGCUCAACUGACGCUCAUGCACGAAAGCGUGGGUAUCGAACAGGAUUAGAUACCCCAGUAGUC
rnacentral:rRNA from 1 species